UCCAAGGACAUCUGACAGGGANUAGUAGA
rnacentral:piRNA from 1 species